UCAUAGCAACCCUCUGAUAUAACACCUAGAGCAGUUACAGAAGCUUCCCGAAACUUCAGAUCCGUGCUCUGACUAUACAUGGAAGAGAACUCGAAAACAGUGGGGAACACAUGCUUUGGCAGGUUCAUAGCUAGUGUGUCAAUAACUUCAGCAGCUGCACGAUCAGUAGCGAGAUCAUCAUCAUCGUCUUCUUGAUCAGAUGACUCGGCGAGUAAAGGGCACAUAACUUGCAAAAUUGGUAUGACUAGCUUGUGUUUUUUAAGGGAAGUGUAUUUGUACUUUGCCAACCAUGAAACUAUUUGGAUCGCCUGGUGACAAUAAAUGGAAUAAAGCAUAAGGAAUCAUAUAAACCUAUUUAAAGUAAAAAGAGAAUGAUUCUCCUAAGUUUUAACCUGGUGACGGGUGCUAUUUUCAAGGGUUUGAUUACAUGAGACUUCAAGAGAGAACUGCACGAUCGAUUUGACAGAAUCUCCAAGAAGAGGAGCAGGAGACUCGAUCAGCUCAUCAAAAAUCUCAAAAGCAAGUAUUGCAACAUCCUCCUCGCCAGAUGCAAUACAUUUCCUCGCCACGUUCAAUAUGCUUGGAAUGAAAUCUCGGAACUUGACCUGAUAGAAAUUGACAUAAGCACAUUGCUACAAACAUUAACCAAAUAAAACGAGGAUAAAAGUCGCUAGAUAUACCACAUCAUCCCCGUCGCUUGUGAACUCAAGAAAAGAGCCCACUGCCCUAAUAAAUUACAGAAGUGCGUAAAAGAUAGAGAUACUGUAAUCGAGAAGAAAAAGAUGAGAAUUAAGAUUACUUGAGAGCAGCAAUUCUGACACGGCUGCUGCUUUCAUCUUGCAUACACUUGAGAAGAAGAGCUUGCAAAUCAGCAAAGUAUGGCCUAAACGUGUUCCCAAUAGUUUCAGUCAAAGAGCUGAAAAGGAUCAAUGCUACCUACAAACAACAACAAAAAACAGAUUAAGCUAAGAGUAUCUCCAAUCUCACUAUUUUUUCACUAUUUUAUAGUAAAAGAACUCAAUUCCAACCCUAAUUUCUACUCUAUAAUAGAAUAAUUCAUUUAUUUUUUUGUUCAUCACUCGAAGUAUGACCAAUUCUAUUAUAGAGUUAGUAAACCAUUCCAACUCUAUUAAACCAUUCCAACUCUAUAAUAGAAUAAUUCAUUUAUUUUUUGUUCAUCACUCUCGGAGUAUAACCCAAUUCUAUUAUAGAGUUAGUAAACCAUUAGAGAUGGUGUAAGUGAAGAAAACAUCCUAUCAAAUAGUUUCACAGCUCACAGGGAAGUAAGAGACUCACUUCACGAUGGUCUUCUUGAGCACUCUGACUACACUGGAAGAGAAAUGUUAACAAGUCAGGCCACUCUCCAGCUGGAACAGCGUACUUCGCUACCACACUCACAACAUUGGCACUCGCACGCCUCACAGGUGGACUGUUAAAUUAAAUUUCCAAUUAAAAAUAAAUAAAAUUUAAAAUCCCAAUUUAAAACAUAGAGAGGAGAAGGAAAACCUAUUCUCUACGGUAAUGCUUUCGAUUAAAGACUGUUUAACUUCCUGUUUCAUCUGCGGAGAACGUAAAGGGAAAGAUGAAGGAUACGGUGCAAAAGAAGAUUUAGUGUGGAGUGCAAACAAGCCAAGAGCUUGAGUCGCAGCUGCCUUCUCAUCCAAAACUCCUGUUCUUACACUUAUGUUCCGAAUCCUGGGCUCAUCAUGAGCUUCAUCAUCAGAGGACACCCCACCAAAAUCGUUGACACUUUCAUCGUCUGACUCAUCAAUGUUGACAGCAGACCCAUCAUCAAGAUUGCACGAAGCAAAUACUAACGGCAUAACACGAGGUAGAUACUGCAGAAACAACGUUUUUUUAUUUACUUAACUAUAAUCAAUGGAGUCAAAGCUGUUAUAGGUCUAUUUGAACGAACUGUAUGCACACCUGGGCAAAAGUGUCAUCCAAUAUUUCAGCUACGUUGCUGAAGAAUCCAUGAGUAUAUUCUCGCAACUCACUGUACUCCAAUCCAAAUCCCUGAAUUUUUUUAUAAUGGUGAGCUCUCUCUUCCACAAAAUGACAUACAAAACAGUAAGGCAAUUACCGAUAUUGCGGCAUCGAUGAAAGGCGGCAAAAUGGCCUCCAUCCCUUUUCUCCCAACAGACAUUGCGACGAUCCCUACAAGCUCAGUAGACCGUGCACGGGCACGAAGAUCCUCGUCAUUAGUCAGCACCAUGAAGAACUUCAUCGCCUCUAAAACCCUCCCAGCGUAUGGAUUGAAUGCUUGCUCUGCAGCAGCAGCAACCGACCCAAUUGCUGACUGCAAGCAAGUAGCAAACAGCUUAAAUCAAUAUUCCAGAAAACUCUGGGAAAGAUUGUUUGUGUACCAUGCAAGUCUCUUGCAGAUUACGAGGACUGUUUUGGAGAGCUGCCAUGAGCUUCCCCAUUAAAGGAUCAAGGUAAGCAACUAUCUCCUCUCCCAUGUUCUCACAGAAGGCUGCUAAAGCAUAGUAUGACUUCUCCUGCAGACAGUAAUGACAAAUGUUACUAAUAAACUAACGUUUUCAUGUUAUCAUAUGCUUUAAAUUUACCUUCACUUCCUCAGAUGUAUCUUCAAUCGCAUUCAAAACACACGGAAGAAAACUCUGAUAGUGUGACAGGAUCUCAGGCUGGAGAUACUCGGCGAACUGGCCUAGCGCAAAAGAUGCAGCCCCUCGAACCAUUCUCUCAGGGUCUCUUAAAGCUCCCAAGACUAUAUUUAGAAUAAUGUCCAGCUUCUCUUUGAUAAGAUCAUAGCAACCCUCUGAUAUAACACCUAGAGCAGUUACAGAAGCUUCCCGAAACUUCAGAUCCGUGCUCUGACUAUACAUGGAAGAGAACUCGAAAACAGUGGGGAACACAUGCUUUGGCAGGUUCAUAGCUAGUGUGUCAAUAACUUCAGCAGCUGCACGAUCAGUAGCGAGAUCAUCAUCAUCGUCUUCUUGAUCAGAUGACUCGGCGAGUAAAGGGCACAUAACUUGCAAAAUUGGUAUGAC
rnacentral:lncRNA from 1 species